ACGAGGUCCCUGUGUGGCCCCUCAUCCACAGCAUUCCAGCUCCAGGAGUACUCGGAGCCCCACAAGGUGAAGCCUGCACAGGUAGGUAAAAGCCUGGGUAAGUAUGUGCGUUUUAUCUUAGGUAAACCUCUACCCAAACGCCAAAACAAAUCUGAUCGUGCACGUGAUGUAUAAAUAACUGCUUCUACCAACAGCCCUGAUGGCAGUUUUUUUCAUGGUAUAUCUUCUGCCUUUAUACAAGCAACAAACGAGAAUUUAAGCAAGGUAAGCUGAAGUUUUUAAAAGUAACUCUCAGGGUACUGACAAGGUCUGCAUAGUCUGAUCUGUCUUCUGUAUUUUCUCUUAGAAUAUAAGUUCCCUGAGAAACAGCUGGGUUCAUGUCUGCUGUGUUCCCUGUUACAGCCCCUGCCAACUGCAAGCACUGGGCCUACCAGGAAAUCAGCAUUCAACAUUAGGAAGGCGGUCACAGCUAAGAUUAAAGUCGAGUCCCUGGUUUUAGGAUUAUUUAUUUCAUGAUAGUGUGAUUCUUAGAACACUGGCAAUCCAUGUAUGGCAGUACAUCUCUUUUAGCCUCAUAAUUCAUUUAAUGAAGAGGCGGGGUUGGGUAAGACCUUAGUUUGUACUUGAAAAUACUAUACCCACCAUUUGUAAUCUCAUCCUGUUACAUAUAGUUGUAUGCUUAGACGUUGCUUCUUAAAUUACCUAAAAGUGAUAUUCUCUACCAACUAAGUGGGUAAGAAAAAUAAUGUCUACCUUUAAGCAAGCACUUUGAAAUAGAAUUCAUAGUUUUAAAGGAAUUUGCAAACAAACUGCUGGGUGUUCUAUCUAAAAAGUAUCAGAAGCGACAUAUAAACUGAAUUACUUAAGAAAUCAUAUAAAAUCUGAACAUUUUUAGUGAGUGCCUAGUAACAUAGGUACACUGUUACUAUCCCACUCACAUGAGGCACUUUGGUGAAACACUUAACGUCUUGUAAAUUAGGACAAGUCUAAGAUGGACUCUUUAGUUUCAUUUUUAAGAAGCUUUUAAAAGAGCUCACACUUGUUCCAAAGAUGUUUGUGGUAAGCUUCAAAGCAGUGUGGAUAUUUUAGAGUCUGAUUCAAAAUGUUUCAACUUGACAAGCCCCAAGGUCAGGCAGUGCUAAGACCACAUGGGUCUUCAGUUCAGGUCUUCCUGCCCAACCAAGCUCAGCAGGGUGUCUUCCAUUAGCAAUGAAAAUAUCUGACAACAUGGGUCCGAGAAAGUUUAUAAAUGUGAGCUUCAUUCUCUGUCCUCACAGUAUGAUUAAGAGUUGUUCUGUUUGUUUUUUAAUAAGCUCACUAUGUAAUACUUUGUGCCAUACAGCUUGGAGAAGUUCCUAGAGCAAGGAAAUCAACACGUUCACAAACAAAUACACUUCAUAAAUAUUCAUCUAAGCAGGAGAAACAUCUAUAGGAAAAAAAUCAUAAAACCACUAGAAUGUGGCCAAAGAGGAAAAUAUUCUAAGAUUAUUCCAGAUUUGUGGUUUGGUUCUUCCCUCCUACUCUGCUCCCCACCCCUGAAAAAAGUAAUGAGGCAAAAUUUCUUAUACCAAGGCAAAGAUGAUCUUGCAAAGGAAAUUGUCAAAUGAAUUAACAUGAAGUUGGGACAAUAACAAUUUACUGAUGCUUCCUUGAUCUUAUAAAUACUCGAAUGGCAAUGGGUGGAAACGACCUUAUUAAUGUAGGACCCACAGUGAUGGUUAACUUUUUGUGUCAACUUGACUGGGCCACAGGGUACCCAGAUAUUUGGUUCAACAUUAUUCUUGGUAUGUCUAGGAGGGUAUUUCUGCAUAAGAUUAACAUUUGAAUAGAUUGCCUGAGUAAAGCAGAUUGCCCUCCCCAGUGUGGUGGGUCUCAUGCAGUCUGUUUAAGGCCUAAAUAGAAUAAAAAGCUGAGUUAGAAAGAAUUCUUCCUCUCUGCUUGUCUUUCAGCUAAGACAUUGGUCUUCCCCACCUUUGAACCGAGACCUGGAUUAGAACCUACAUCAUUAACUCUCCUGGUUCUCAGGCCUUCAGACUCGGACUGGAACUAUACCAUUGGCUCUCACGGGUCUGGACCACUCAGCCUCCGUAACUGUGAUUACAUUUAUCUUGAAGAACUUAACACCUGAAGUAUUCAAUCGGGAAAGAAAGAACCUUUUUUUAAAAGUUGCUAGAGGCACACAUGGUAACACCGGAGAGCCAGUGCAUGCGCAAGCGAACAGACGUCUCCCACACCGAUGAGUUCAUGCUGUGACCACGCUUCAUGGCGCAACGACUGAAAACGAGCUGGCAGCAGAUGGGCAUCGAGUCUCCGGCGACGAGUUAGGCUCGAGCGUCCGCGCUCAUCUGACCCCAGCCAGGCGGGUGCGUUUCUGCCAGCUUGGUGGAGUCCCCGUUACGCUGAAGUGUGAGAAAUACAAGUCGGUGACUGCAACUCUGCAGAAGCUGAGAACUCAGGGCCACCUCUCGUGUCUGACAAUAACUGUAGUCACGCGGAGGAAAGAGCCGAUGCUCUCCCAGGACGAAAGCUUACACAGUGAACCACGCACUUAACCCCCGGGCCUUCCAGCCCCUGGGAGGCGAAUCUGCAGGCGGCGGCUGGGUCCUGGCUGGGUCCUGGCCGCAGGCAGCGGACAGAGGGGGUCGGCGGACACGCGAGCGAGCGCACUCACCAGAACCAUUCGCUCCCGAAACUGGGCACCGAGAACACGCCCCAGUGGAUGAAGAUGCCGAACUUGGCCUGGUCGAACCACGCGGGCAGC